UUGUAUUUCAACUUUCGCAUCUAUUGUUUUGCAUACUACUCGUGAGAUAGAAUUCUUUUUAUACCAGAAUUCUUAGAAGUAUCACUGUGUGCAUGUUGUUGUGGGAUGCCUAUUUUAUUCACUUGGAGAAAUUCCUUAUUGACAGCCACCCUUUGCUGUGAGGAUUGAUGUUCCUAAAAGAGAAUGAGUGUAAACUUGUGUUGGUAGAACUAUCUAGAAGAAGGAUAGCUCUGGCUGAGAUGAUAGCCCACAGGCAAGAUGGUAAGGCUAGGGUUAGGAUGAUGAUUCUUGACACGCAGGAUCAACAGGAAGCUGAAUUCAUAUCUGUUCUAUUAACUCCAUUGUUUAACUCUAUUCUCUACAGCAAUCAUCUCGAUUGACUAUAGUAGAGUCUGACACGUUCCAGAUUAUAUACUGACAUGAUUGUGCUAGUUAUGAGUGACAAAAGUCUGAGAAAGUUGAUCAUUUUUCCAUAAAGAGCUUCCUCCACGAGCUUGAAUGAAGAUAAAACAUUACUGAUUAAGACAUCACUCCAAUGAACCGGUAACAGCUUGACCACAAUACGAAAUACCACGAAUAUCGACGAGAAUGGCAUUAGUUAGGAAUGAUAAAGAAUUCAAUCAAGAACAGUAGCCCAAGUGUUGUUCUUUAUUUGAUUAUUGAUACUUGUUGGUAAGAAGAUUUAUCUAAAGUAAAGAGGAGGUCAAGGGCUAUAGUAAAGUACAAUAAACGA